rnacentral:miRNA from 1 species
UAGUGAGCUUAAGCAAGUGACGUUUUUGACAACACGAACGGCAUGAGUAACGUCAGAAGACUGGGUCAAGGGUUGUGAUUGGUGAAAAACGUCAAUUUUACUUCCGGUCGACGUCCGUGUUGUCAAAAACGUCACUUGCUUAAGCUCACUA